AGCCAUGACUUCCAGCCACGCGGCCGGCCUCGGGAAGAGGGCGGGGCCGCGCCUGCGCGCAAGUCUUCUCGGCGGUCUCGCUGGGACUCUCGCGAUGUUGCGAAAGGGCUGAUGGGAAACGUAGUCCAAAACAACAGCCGCUGGGGGUAGCCGCAUUUUCGGCGCGACCCUGGAGCCGGGGCUCUUCAGCUGUGCCCUCGGCGGUAUUUCGUCUGGAUUAUUCUCUGCACCGUAAUGCAGGAUAAUUCGUCCGUCCGGUCAUACGUCGCAGGUGCUUGUUUUCAAGUUUUCGCGUCUGUUUACGUUUGACUCCCUUCAUUUGAUUACGAGCCCUUUGAGGCGAGAGAAGUCUUUUUUAAUGAUCAUUUCUUUCUUUGUUAAUUUCCUCACCGUGCCUACUUGAUAUUCCGCUGUCUUUGCUCCCAGUAUGUACUGAACAAAUAAUCAUGAACCCAGCAAUAAAGUCUAUCUUGUGAAA